CCCUUAGAUGUUCUGGGCCGCACGCGCGCUACACUGAUGCAUUCAACAAGCCGAGCCUUGACCGAGAGGUCCGGGUAAUCUUUGAAACUGCAUCGUGAUGGGGCUAGAUUAUUGCAAUUAUUAAUCUUCAACGAGGAAUGCCUAGUAAGCGUGAUUCAUCAAAUCGCGUUGAUUACGUCCCUGCCCUUUGUACACACCGCCCGUCGCUCCUACCGAUUGAAUGUGUUGGUGAGGAGCUCGGAUUGGCAGCAGUUGGUGGUUCGCCACCGGCUAUUGCUGAGAAGUCCUCCAAACCGCCCCAUUUAGAGGAAGGAGAAGUCGUAACA
rnacentral:rRNA from 1 species